rnacentral:rRNA from 1 species
UACGUAGGGUGCGAGCGUUGUCCGGAAUUAUUGGGCGUAAAGGGCUCGUAGGCGGUCUGUUGCGUCAGGAGUGAAAACUCGGGGCUUAACCCCGAGCCUGCUUCUGAUACGGGCAGACUAGAGGUAUGCAGGGGAGAACGGAAUUCCUGGUGUAGCGGUGGAAUGCGCAGAUAUCAGGAAGAACACCCGUGGCGAAGGCGGCUCUCUGGGACGGUACUGACGCUGAGACGCGAAAGCGUGGGGAGCGAACAGG